CAAAAAAGAAACUGGCUGCCGACAGGAUCGAAACAAACUUUUCAAGAGCUCUUUGCAGUGUUAAGAAUCUCCUUUACAGUCCUCUGCUCCUCUUCAUUUAGGGAAUUAAUUCUAAUUUCUGUAUGGGUCAAGCUUUCUCCUAGCUUUCUCCUAUUUUGCAACAUUGAAAUAAAUGCGGUUUUGCAUUAGCAAUUCACCACUGAAACAAAGCACUUGCUCACAAAAUCCCACCAGCUACCCAGGCUGAAAUUUUAUAUAUUCUUUUUCUCUAUUUCAGCCCUUCACUAUAGGACACCUUAUCCUAGAAUGAUACAUAUGCCACCUUCAGCUGUGCCAAAAACAAGUACAAAACAAAGGAAGACUCAAGAGCGCAUCAGAAAACAGGCCAAACCUGUUUACAUGCACUCUGACGAUGACAUUGAUAAAUGAAAGGCUUUAUGGGUUGGGGUGCAUUUACACAUGCAGAAUGCUGACAUAGUGCUAUUCUUGUCUGAGAUUCAAGGCUUUUAAUAAGUGGUACUGUUAUGCUGUAUGCAUGGAUGGAUGGACAGCUAAAUGGCCGGAUGCACCAAUGGAUCGACAAAUGGAGGGAAAGACUAAACUGACUGACUUAUUAACAUUCUCAGUGGUAAACCAAUUGAUUGGUUGUAAGAUUGUGUGAUUAAGAGAAUGAAAUUAUUUCAUUCUCUUUACUCAGUCUAGCAUACUCAUUUUGGGUUAAAAAUCAAAACAACACUCAGUAAAGUACUGUGCAAUUCUAAAAUGUUUUAUUCACCUUUAAUUCUAUUUACACACUAAAAAUAAAAAAAUACUUUGCAAACUGCACAAUAAUUCAAAUCCAUACUAUCCUAGCAUGUUUAAGAGUUCACUUUUUGUACAAAUAGUCACAUAACUAUUCAAGUGGCAUUGCCUGUUAUUUAACAUAAGAUACACAGGUAUAAUGUGGCUCACCCUGGCAUUAAUUUCUGGCAACUGAACUGAACUUUAGUCAUUGAAUUCAAUAUGAUGCGAGUGUCACUAGCAAAAAACCAUAAUGAUAAUGCAAUCUCACUGACAAAAAGUAGUAAAUUGGUAUUUCUAGUAUAGGCAUUGGAAGUAUUGUUUUAUGAAAUUCUUGGCACAACUUUGUCUUGGGUUCUAUAAGUGUUAUUGGAGCCAUUUUAAAUAAUUUUUGUAACAAACAUAAAAAGGAAAAAAUAGACUGAAGAAUGAUGCUUAUUUAGACAUAAUUUUGAGAUAUACAUGUACAAUGUGGUCUUGGAAUUGUCAAAAGUAAAUAAAUACUAGGAAGUAAAUCAGGGUAAUGGUCAUUAAAGCUAAACAAGAUUGAGUUGUUAUCUUAA